GCCCCUUAUUGCAUAAGCCUCUUUGAAUCCAUUCUUGAACAAUAACUCUGCCACUCUCAUUGAAUUACCAUCAAAAUUGUCCAGAAUGCAUAAGACGGUGUUUGCUGGGUCUGGAAACUUCUCUAACACGUUCUUCACAAACCCAUCUUCAUCUUCCUUGGAGAACUCAACCUGAACCACACUCUUAUUCAAAAUCUUUAAAUUGGGAGACCUCAAAGCCACCAAACUCUUCUUGUCCCUGAUAUCCAAAAGCUGAUAAUCCUUCUCUUGUCGCAGUUUUCGAAAUGCAUCAAUGGCAGAGAUAAACUUGUAUUUCCUCAAGUACUGUUCAGUUAGAGGGAUAACGACCAGCCAAAUGAAUGUACACCCAGCAACAAAAAAGGGGUUUCUGUUGAAGAAGUCAUCAAUUGAGACUAAGAUCGAUUCCAAGUUUAUUUUGUCAGAGACUUGUUCAGUUGGGGUGAUUAAAGCUUCAGAAGCUAAGGAAGGAAGAGAAGUGAUAAGCUGAAAUGUAGACAAAGAGACAGAAGUUUUGGAUAAGACACAGUUUCUGAGACGUAACAGGUGGUUUUGAAGAGAAGAAUUUUUUGCAGAUAGGAAACAGGUUUGAUGAGAAUAGGGUUUAGAGGUGGAGAAUUUGAGGGUUUUGGAGUGGUUCUGGAUGGGUGGUGAAGAAGAAAGGAUGAUGGAAAGGGACUCC
rnacentral:misc_RNA from 1 species